rnacentral:rRNA from 1 species
AACGAACGCUGGCGGCAGGCCUAACACAUGCAAGUCGAGCGAGGACUUCGGUUCUAGCGGCGGACGGGUGAGUAACGCGUGGGAAUGUGCCCUUCUCUACGGAAUAGCCCUGGGAAACUGGGAGUAAUACCGUAUACGCCCUAUUGGGGAAAGAUUUAUCGGAGAAGGAUCAGCCCGCGUUGGAUUAGGUAGUUGGUGGGGUAAUGGCCUACCAAGCCGACGAUCCAUAGCUGGUUUGAGAGGAUGAUCAGCCACACUGGGACUGAGACACGGCCCAGACUCCUACGGGAGGCAGCAGUGGGGAAUCUUAGACAAUGGGGGCAACCCUGAUCUAGCCAUGCCGCGUGAGUGAUGAAGGCCUUAGGGUUGUAAAGCUCUUUCAGCUGGGAAGAUAAUGACGGUACCAGCAGAAGAAGCCCCGGCUAACUUCGUG